UUGACGUCAGGACCAAGUCAACGACAACGGAAACAGCAACGGCCGCCUUUAAGAAAAGCAAUAGCACCGCUGUUACGUAUCUCUCAGCUCUAGCCUACCCGUGAUAGCAUAAAAAUACUGUGUUUAGUUACUGUUUCGACCAGCGCGAAGAAGAGCCUCCUUCCAAACGUGUGUCACAAACACCAGUACAGUUAUAGCAAACCGAAGAACAUUAUAUACGAUAUAUGCACAAUGGCACAAUUUUUACGGAAAUUUGCCCCACAAGAAAGUUUUUGUUCAGUACGAAGCGAAUGAGACAGAGUCAGAGAGACGACACAUCUGGAAAUUGUGUAAGGACGAAGCCCAAGUGCGCGCACCUCAUAGCUUCCGCAGUAGUGUACAGGGGUAAUCGCAGUAGUCGACACAAACCGCGUUUCGGUUAGCGUCGCUCGUAUCGCGUCAUGGUUCUUGAUUUCCAGAGGGAAAAGCGGCUCGCUUUUCAGGGCCUGCUGCGCUUUCUACCGGCACAGUGUAGUUAAAGGCCAUCCGGUCAACGAAUGGCGAAAUUGCGACAGCAGUGAAUGUUUAUAUCGACAAAUGGAUCGAACGUUUGAGAAGCCAACACAGAAUACAUAGCCCAUCAGACAGCCGACGACCUCACAGCCGUACACAUAGACCACACAGACCGAAAAUGAAGACUACAACUGAAGUUGUGUUGUGGUUCCUCUAAAUCUUCCUCUAAGCAGAGCAAUCUUCAGAACAAUACUAACUAGUUUUUUUUGACUCCUGUCGUUGACAAGCCCGCGAACAAGAUCAGGGGAUCAGAAAAAGAUGGGACGCUCUCGAUCGCGUUCGCGCGAGAGGCGUCGCUCCCGGUCCCCACGCGACCGCCGACGGUCGCGUUCAAGGGAUCGGAAAAGAAAGUCUCGGUCGCGUAGCAAAGAUAAAGAUAAGGACAUUCGCGACAGGCGAAGGGAUCGUUCAAGGGAACGCAAACGUUCGAGGUCCAGGAGUCGGGACAGGCGCCGUGAGCGAAGUCGUGACAGACGUCGGUCCCGCUCUCGUUCGCGCGAUCGGAAGCGAUCAAAAGAGCAAUCUCGUCGGAGUCGCACGAGAAGUAAGAGUCGUUCUCGCUCGAGGUCACGAAGCGGCGAUCGAAUAUUGCAAGCGACAAAAAUGCACGACCCCGUAGCAACGGCAUUGGCUAUCCUCGCCCCGGUAACCAUGCCCUCGUCUACCAAUGCUGCUGGUCUGUCGGUGACAACGAACAGCGCCAUACUUCAGCAGGUACCUUUACCGCCGGCUCCACCGAAAGAACCCGCGCACGUGCUUGAAGACUUCGGCUUGCUCGAUAAAGAUUCGAAGCAGCAGAAGCUCGACGCCGAAAUGAAGAAAUUCCGUGAGCGUAUUGAACGUGAGCGUGCUGAAAAGAAAUUGAAGGAGGUCCACAAGUUGAAAGAGGACACUGAUACCAUCGAAAUAUUGGAACGGCAAAGCGAGGACGCCAAGACAAACGACAAUAAUGCCAAAGAGGGCUCCGAUUCGGCAGAACCUGCACCACCGGCAAAGACCCCAUAUAAACCCCCUCCGGGACUGGCGCUUAUUGAUACCGAUGAGGAGGAUAAUAAUGAUGACGGAGAUGAUGAGGACAGAUCCAAGAAGAAGAAAAAAGAAACGAAAAUGGAAGAAGAUGACGAUGACGAUGAUGGAGUCGACCCGUUAGACGCCUAUAUGGAGGAGGUGGUCAAAGAAGUUCGUGCUAUCACUAAAGCUGCUCCGAAACCACAGACGGCAACGAAUAACCUGGUUCACGGCAUCAAGGGAGGCCAAGCUGUAGUACUGACUGGCAAGCAAAAAGGGCGACCUAAAAGUGCUAGCGGUAAUUCCGGAAAGGGUGAUAUAAUGGAACAGAAUGAAGAUGGUCUGGAAUAUUCCGACGAGGGCGAACAAGAGGAUCUACAGCAAGCAAUGGAUUCGUAUUCCUCCGCCACGCUCGGAAAGAUCAAGAAACAAACAACUAUCAGUUUAGAUGAUAUAACGUAUCAGCCAUUUCGGAAAGAUUUCUAUAUCGAAGUCCCUGAGCUUGCGCAAAUGACCCAAGCUGAAGUGGAGGCUUUCCGAACAGAGAUGGAUGGUAUUACGGUUAAAGGUAAGAACGUCCCAAAGCCCAUCAAGGCCUGGCCCCAAGCUGGAAUCAGCAAGAAAGUUUUAGAUGUUUUGAAGAGGGCUAAUUUUGAUAAGCCAACACCUAUUCAGGCCCAAACGUUACCCGCCAUUAUGUCCGGACGAGAUCUUAUUGCUAUUGCAAAAACAGGUUCAGGAAAGACGCUAGCGUUCCUCUUGCCAAUGUUUCGGCACAUCCUGGAUCAGCCGCCGCUCGAAGCUAACGAUGGCCCGAUAGCAGUGAUUAUGACUCCCACGAGAGAGCUGGCUAUGCAAAUCACAAAGGAUUGCAAAAAGUUUACUAAGGCUUUAAAUCUUCGCGUUGUAUGCGUCUACGGUGGAACAGGCAUCUCGGAGCAGAUAGCAGAAUUGAAACGUGGUGCUGAGAUUAUAGUCUGCACACCGGGUCGCAUGAUCGACAUGUUGGCCGCCAACAGCGGUCGCGUCACGAAUAUGCGCAGGUGCACGUACGUGGUGCUUGAUGAAGCUGAUCGUAUGUUUGAUAUGGGUUUCGAGCCUCAAGUUAUGCGUAUUAUUGACAGCAUUCGGCCAGAUCGGCAAACGGUUAUGUUCUCAGCGACCUUCCCCCGACAAAUGGAAGCUUUAGCUAGGCGAAUACUAUUAAAGCCAAUCGAAAUACUUGUUGGCGGGAGAUCAGUUGUCUGCAAGGAAGUCGAGCAGCACGUUCUUAUUUUGAAUGAGGAAGACAAAUUCCUCAAGCUUCUUGAAAUACUCGGCAAAUACACAUCUCAGGGUAGCGCAAUUAUCUUUGUCGACAAGCAAGAGCAUGCUGACGCUUUACUCAAGGAUCUCAUGACUGCAUCAUACAAUUGUUCGGUGCUCCAUGGAGGAAUCGAUCAGUUUGAUCGAGAUUCGACGAUCGUCGACUUCAAAAAUGGCAAAUUUAACGUUCUGGUCGCGACAUCCGUUGCGGCCCGAGGCCUGGAUGUGAAGCAGCUUGUUCUCGUAGUCAACUAUGACUGUCCUAAUCAUUACGAAGAUUACGUGCAUCGCUGCGGCCGAACAGGCAGGGCAGGCAACAAGGGCUUUGCUUACACAUUUAUUGCACCUGACCAGGAGCGGUACACCGUAGACAUUUUGAAGGCGCUUGAGUUGUCGGAAGCACCGGUACCAGACGAGCUUCAGAAGCUGUUCAAUACUUAUAAAGAGAAAAUGGAAGCUGAGGGCAAGAAAGUCAAAGGGUCAUCUGGUUUCUCAGGCAAAGGCUUCAAAUUUGAUGAGAGCGAGGCAAACUUUACUAGCGAAAAGAAAAAGUACCAGAAAGCCAUGCUAGGUAUGAACGAUUCGGAUGAUGAUGACGCGGAAGAUUCGAUUGAUCAAGAUAUCGAGACGAUGAUGGCCCCGAAAAAACGUGUUACUGAGACAAAGGGUCCCGCAGGAGGACCGCCACCCCCUCUGCAUGGCCAAACGCAUCCAUCAGCAGCGGAGGCAAGUGUUCCGCUGGUCCCAUCGCAACCCAUAAUUCCUGCCGUCCUUCCAACAGAUCCGUUGGAAAAGGCGAAGUUUUUGGCUAGACGCAUUAAUAAACAAUUUUCCCAAGAGAACCGAUCGGAUGAUCCUAAUGGACCUCGUCCAGGAGGCGCCGCUCCUAACAGCAGUAUUGCUGCUCAGAUAGCUCGCAGUAUCGCUGAACAGAGAGCGGAACGUCUGCACAUCAAGCUUAACUAUACGCCUAGUGGAGAAUCAGAUCCUUUGAUUACCAGUGAACAAACAACAUUCAGGAAGUAUGAGGAGGAACUCGAAAUCAACGACUUUCCACAGCAAGCAAGAUGGAAGGUAACGUCUAAAGAGGCUAUCGCACAGAUCGCCGAAUACUCAGAGGCAGGAUUGACCGUUCGUGGUACGUAUUUCCCACCCGGCCGAGAACCACCGGAGGGCGAACGCAAACUGUUUAUCGCGAUCGAAUCCCACGACGAAAUGUCCGUCCAAAAGGCGAAGUCAGAGAUAGUGCGUCUUAUCAAAGAGGAGCUCGUCAAAUUGCAGCAUUCAUCGUACCAGCCUAUGAAUAGAGGGCGCUACAAAGUCCUUUAAAAAUGAAAGUUUUAAGCUCGUCAAGCUACGCGCUUGAUGUGCUGAUGUGGACCGUAGAAGCAAAUCUUAAAAAGUCAUCUUUUAACGUUACAUUGAUUAUGUGUAUUACCGAAAAGAUGAACCUAUUUCUUUUUCUGCAAAGAAAAGUCUGGCAGAAUAUAGCACGCGUAUAAACUCUGAUAGUAUAGCGUAUUUAUACAGCGUUAAGUUAAGCAUCGCGUUACUCGAAGCAAACAUAUUACAAUGACACGUCGUCAAAAGAAAGUAAUGUGAACAACACAUAUGUAUUGUUCUGACGACUCGAAAUUACUAAAUGUACCUAUGCACAUAAUAAUUUCAAUUAGUUAUAAUUAAAGUAGUUAAUUAUUUUACGCCGUUAGCGUUACAAGGCUGCUGCUUAAAAACUACGUACGAAUUGUGAGGCUGUUAUCUUUGUGUGAUACUCAGUUCCGCAUCAGCGUUAGGCAGCCAGCGGCGUGUAUAAGAUAUCAAGACAGCUCUCAUUGAUUCUUUCAGGUAAUAUACGUUAUCAUAUUUAAUAUUUAACCGAACCCAUUUAACACAACAAGGCUGAUAAGGAAAUUCAGUAAAUAUUGAUAAUAAAUUUCAAUAAGGCAUUGUUUCGAACACAAUGAAUUUACUAUAAAAAAAACUUCUCCUUUAUGUGCUUAAUGUAGUACUUCAGCUAGAUUAGCUGUAUAGUGUUUUAUGAACCUUCAUUCAACCUCGAUAGAAUUUUCCUAUGAGUAUUAGUUUUCUAACUUGUAGUUCCUUGAACAAAACUUUUCAACUUACAACUGUCAAAUUAACGCCUGGCUGCAGAAAGCAAACACUUAAACUUCGAAAAUGCAUUACUUGAGAGAUCGUAAUGAAUUUAAUUUAAAACGAAACGUCACGUGUAUGGGCUAGCAUUGGCCUCUUAACAAUUCUAUUAAAACAUAUUGUGCCACUUUAGCAGGGCAACACAUUAUUUUGUGAGAGCAGAAACGGGCAUUGUAGAAUAUGUGCCACAGAUUUCUGAAAUAGUGUGCACAGGUAGACAUAAGAAGGAAUCUUGAAGACCGUGAUCACUACCAUCAUAGUCUGAUUUAAGAGCUAUGUUUAAGAUUCGAUAGUACUCGGAUGCACAUACCGAACUGAGUUAAAAGUGAGCAAUUAUUAUGCUGGCCUUUAAUUUCUAAUAUUGCCAUGUUAUACAGGAUAUUGUCUAUCGCCAAGAUCAGGUAAUGCUAAAGUCGUACUUUUACCUUUACAGAAAUUGACUAGACAUAAAACACAUGAGUGUGUAGAGAACACAUCGUUUUUCUUUCCCGCGAGGUGUGUACCUGUCUAGAAUUUUUACGGCACGUGACAAUUGAUAUUCUCAUAUACCUGUAUUAAAGGUUAAAGCAAUAAAGUCCAGAGUGCUCACUGUUCAAUAUAAGCUCGCUUUUAUCAGUAGGAAUUUGUCAGUUUAUGGGAAUAAGGUCUCUCUGCUUUCUUCUGUAGUUUUUUGCACCUAUAUUAAGCUAUCAGUGUCUGUUUAUUGGAAAAAGUACACCCUUUCGAGCGCGCUUUAAAAAGGUUUCAUUCUCAUUGAAACCUAAACUAUAGCUUUUUAACUUAGAAUUAUAGAUACUCUAUUACGACAAAAAUAAAUCAUGAUCAGAUCCGGUCGUACAAUCUCACUAACUGCUACGCGUGUAACUGUACGCAUAUUUUAUGGUUGACCGAAAUUUUAAUUAAAUUACUAUAUUAUCAUUGCAUAUAACUACAGUUAGGAAAGUGACAUCAGCAUUAACAGGAAUAGUUCGAUGGAAAGGUAGAUAGUUGUACUGGAUGCGUCAGGCGUUACUAGAGUCUAAAUAGCUUAAAGCGAAGAAAUUUUUUAUAGAAGUGGUUAUUAGCAUUCUAAAUUACACUGUCUAUACAAAUCAUGACUCCAUUAUGAUUCCUAUCUAACCCUAGCGAAAAGAUUCAAGUGAAAUAUUAAAAUGUCAUGCCUUGUUGAGGUCACAUUCGCCUAUGCGAUAUAUAAAUCACGUAAACAUCGGGCAAUCCGUACCGCUGGGCAAUCAAAAAGUCCUAAAAUGUGAAAACACCGAAAAAUUAACACAGGCCUUAGAUAUGGCCAAUAUAAGGUUUUCAUAGAUAAUUUAACACUUGGUUUUGAUAUAAUAGGCAAAAUAAGGCAAAAAAAAAGGAAAAAUAAAGUUCGGUUGUGUGUGUUCGAUGUGCUACUAAUCACUGCUGUUUCAUCGCGUUUUGACCUGAUGCAUCACCAUUAUAUGGCAGAACAAAAAAGGCUUGACAAUAUCUUAAAAUUGUUCCAACACAAUCCAUUUCCAGAGAGAAAAAUGAUUUUAAAAUAGUUUCUCAUUGAAUGAUGAGAAACUAUUUUGACAUUGUAGUUCAGCUUUUUCCAACAUGUUUCCCAGCUUGACAGACUAAACUGACAGACGAGAACGUGAAGGAAGGAUCGAUGACGAUUGUCGCAAAACAACGAAACCGUAAAAUGGGCAAUCUGUGAACUUUUUUCGACCAUAGUUCACUACAGGAAUAAAUAUAGUGUUGGAAAUGUGGUAGAAGCUGAAAGACCGACGUAAUGCAAUACAAUCAAUUGUAUGCAAUGCCUUGCGUUAGACUACAUAUUUUUACGUGACAACCUGUUGCCAAAAUCCAAGAAGUAUGUUUGCAAGAACUAUCCCGUUGAUCGACCAACCAUCAACCAACAAUCGAAUUUUCUAUUGGGAAGCAGAGUAACAUUCUACUGGCAUUCCAUUUUUCCAACCAUAUACCUGGAAUAAGACCGAAAACAUGAAGUGUACGGCGUUUACUACGGUAACCUGUGGAUAAGCCCGCAUAAGAUUCCCUUUAAAACGAGUCAUUCUCCUUUAUGGCUUGGCCAAAUAUUCUGUAUGUGAAACAAAUAAGGUUCUGCCGUAUAUUUGCUGGUCACCAACUUUGUCGGGCAAAUGCUUAUAGCACCCCCGUCCGAGAUGAUACGUAAAUAAUAAUCCGAAUGAAUUGCAACCAGGAUCAAGUCACAGCGUUUUAAAACAAAUAUUGUUUAUCAUCUAUUCACAACAUUUGUUAUUGAAAUCAAUGCUCAAAUAUAGUGUUUGAAAGAAUGUAUACACACUUCACUAUAUAUAUAAAAUAGUUAUUGCAAAAGAGACCACGUAAAAUCUAUAACUCUUACUUCUAUUGCAGAUACAUGUUUAAAAUAGUCACCGUUCUGAUCAAUAUACUAUUGGUAACGAUCGGCUAUCGAUUCACAAACUUCAACAAACGAUUGGCCAAUAGCAGCUCCUAAAGCUUCAGUGUCGUCAGUUUCUUUCAAGCUACGUAAGAAAAACUCGAGGACAAAUAUCAGGCCCGGGGGACGGGCAGAGUGUCUCAUAAGACAUCUUUGUCCGGCCCAUCUGUUUGGAAUCUUCCAAACAAGAAACGCUUUUAGAUAAUAAGUAGGUUCUCCGCUUUAUUGAACGAAAUUUUGCUGUCCAACCAAUAUCUUCCAGAAUGCGAGGUAAAACAGACUAUUAUAGCAAAUUCAAGUAUUUGGCAUCAGUCCAUACACUAUCAAAAACGAGCGGUCUAAUUCAUCUUUUGUUUGAAAUGCCCCACCACACUAACUCCAGGUAAAUUAUAUAAUAUUUUCAUAUAACAUGUGUAUUUACUGUUUCUCAGUGACUGCAAUCAUAUUGAGUAAUUGCUAUUUAAUUUGAAUGUAGAUUCACCGUUUGAAACAAUAGUUUUUGAAGACUGUGCAUUCUCUACAUAUUUUACUGAGUACUAUCCGCAAAAUUUGUUUUCUUUGGUUUGGAUCAAUUUCACUGAUAGCAUGUGUACCAUGUUGCAACUGCUACACAUGCUAUCAGUUUUUCCAUUUACGAUGUUCUAAAUGUUACGGACCCAAUUUUUCGAUACCAGGCUCAUGACUCGCUUGUUUUCCUUAUUUGUGGAAUGUUCCGCUGUAACUCUUCAGUGAUCAUUCUUGGCUGGUGAAACUCUGACCUUUUUGGAUUUUCCAUAGUUGUCUAUAAACAUUUUCAACCGUUCCAUCAGUUUCAAACUUAUCUUUGUUAGUCGCGUAGGGGAAUCUGUUUGAAGUUUUUGUUGAAAAGUUAAUUUUAGUCUACUUCUUAUUUCCAACUAGUGACAAUCUGAAAAAUAAACAAUUAGAAGAUUAUGACCCACUAAAUUGUGUAUGUAUCUUUUGGGGUAGCCUGUAUUACAAAAAAAGAUACAGCGAAUCAUAUCGAAGCAAUUGGAUUAACUGAUCUGAUUUGGCUAGAUGCCAAAGAAGGUCGAUAGAUUAGAUUAAUAAAAAACCGUCUAAUAUCUCGAAUCACGGUUCUAAAGAAGUUACUCAUGUAGAAACUGGGUACACUAAUUCCCAAGUGAAAUCCUAUAAUUGUCUGAAAUACUGAGAAAAAAAAUGUAGAUCUCAGCUUAUCAUAUUUUGACUACAUAUGUAUAGAGCGCAUUCUCACGGUUAUUGAGGUAGAAAGCGCUUUUAUUUAGCGUGUUGAUCAGCCAUCCCUCAUAAGUAAUCAACCUCCGCCCUUCUAAUAAGACAACGUGUUUUUGUAUGCGUUUUUAAAAAAGCACGUCUUAGGCAUCACGAACUGAACUCAAGGUAUGUUGUGAAGUUUUAUUUACGGAAAGUUGUUUUUGAAAUUUAUAAUACCAGUAAAUAGGUAAGAUGGUCUUAAUUAUUAUAGCUGAUGGCGUAGGUUGGUGGUAGAUUUUUAACGUAUUCUAUAAGAAACAGGUGAUGUAUUCGUUUUGUUGUGUAUCCCAGUAUGUACCAGGAGUAU